UGUCCAACAUAAAAGUUGAAUUUUUUUUUUUGUAGAACUUAAAAAUUGUUGGGCUCAUAUUUAAUUUGCAUUUUUGUAUUUCACUUGAAUGUGUGUACAUUUUACUCUAUAAUUCAUCUUAAUAAACUUAAUUCAAAUUCACUUAUAGAGACUUAUAAAACUAUCAAACUUAUGUUAUGCAAUGUCAUAGUCAUGUGUAUUUAAUAUCUCUCUUUUAUUGUUUACAUUUAUUUGCAACAAAAGCUUUUAUUUUUGUUUCAAAGUUAACUGUGAUGACUGUUGCUUCUUAAGCAAUAUAUUUUUUAUACAAAACCAUUCUGGGUUUGUUUUUUUUUACAUUUUAAUAGUUUGAAGAACUUUUUAUGACAUUACCACAUUAGAU